rnacentral:lncRNA from 1 species
CGCCUCUGCACAGGACAAACAGGAAGAGAUGGGAGAUGCAUGAAGACACACAUCCUACACAAACACUGAAGAGUGCGUACCUCAAGAGCAGCCACUACAUAAUAGUGACAACUGCCCUCACAGCUCAGAAAACUGAUUCUCACAAGACUAAGCAUCGCCAGAGUUUUUCUGAUUCCAAAAGUGUCUUAAUCCUCAGAACUGUCCCUCUGAAACUGAAUAUUCACUGAUGCUAGCCAACGAGCCAGAUGAAAAAUGCAUCCAAACCUCUAUUUGCCAAACCAGUCUUUGAACCAAACUCCACAGAAGAUAGUGCUAAUCAACUAGAGGGAGUGCCUCUAAAGACUGAGCCUUCAUGCACAGACACAGAGCACAGAGGUACAGAAGAGAGUUCAACUCAAAUAGGAUGGGAAUUCCUAUCUCGUCUACUAUGAUCUGCUCUUUGCAGGCAGAGAUGGGUCCCACUGUGACUUGGGAGUCUGGUUACCAGUUUGCCUUCCUAUUGCUGUUUGAGCACUGUGCACCAGGCAGAAUUUCUGAAUCAUCAUCUCGGGACCUCCAGGAGAGAGAAGCUGGAGUCACCAACUCAGUGUGAAGCUUCCAGACUCUGGGUCUGGAUCAGGACCAUUACCCCAAAGUGAGGGUCUCUGUGGUAGAAAAAUCUCCUGCCAAAUUCAAAUUCCUCUGCUCCGGUCACAUGGUACCAAGGAGGAUUUCUCAAGACGGUAUCUUUGAGCUCUGUGUUCAUGAGCCAUAC